GACGAACGCUGGCGGCGUGCCUAAUACAUGCAAGUCGAACGCUUCUUUCCUCCCGAGUGCUUGCACUCAAUUGGAAAGAGGAGUGGCGGACGGGUGAGUAACACGUGGGUAACCUACCCAUCAGAGGGGGAUAACACUUGGAAACAGGUGCUAAUACCGCAUAACAGUUUAUGCCGCAUGGCAUAAGAGUGAAAGGCGCUUUCGGGUGUCGCUGAUGGAUGGACCCGCGGUGCAUUAGCUAGUUGGUGAGGUAACGGCUCACCAAGGCCACGAUGCAUAGCCAACCUGAGAGGGUGAUCGGCCACACUGGGACUGAGACACGGCCCAGACUCCUACGGGAGGCAGCAGUAGGGAAUCUUCGGCAAUGGACGAAAGUCUGACCGAGCAACGCCGCGUGAGUGAAGAAGGUUUUCGGAUCGUAAAACUCUGUUGUUAGAGAAGAACAAGGACGUUAGUAACUGAACGUCCCCUGACGGUAUCUAACCAGAAAGACACGGCUAACUACGUG
rnacentral:rRNA from 1 species